CAAUGAAGGAAGCAUGAUAAUGUACACAUAAAUUGAAUUGGGUUUUUAGACCUGCCCUCUCUAAUGCCAUUUGGCUUUCAUUUGGCGGUAUGGUUCAGCAGGAAAACA